rnacentral:rRNA from 1 species
GAAUCCCGUCUUUGAUACGGACUACCAGGGCUUUGUGAUGCGCUCUCGAAGAGUCGAGUUGUUUGGGAAUGCAGCUCAAAAUGGGUGGUAAAUUCCAUCUAAAGCUAAAUAUUGGCGAGAGACCGAUAGCGAACAAGUACCGUGAGGGAAAGAUGAAAAGAACUUUGGAAAGAGAGUUAAACAGUACGUGAAAUUGUUGAAAGGGAAACGCUUGAAGUCAGUCGCGUUGGCUAGAAAUCAGCCUUGCUCUUGCUUGGUGUACUUUCUGGUCGACGGGUCAGCAUCAAUUUUGACCACUGGACAAAGUCUUUGGGAAUGUGGCAUCUUAGGAUGUGUUAUAGCCCAUUGUCGCAUACAGUGGUUGGGAUUGAGGAACUCAGCACGGCUGCAAGGCCCGGGUUUCGACCACGUUCUCGUGCUUAGGAUGCUGGCAUAAUGGCUUUAAUCGACCCGUCUUGAAACACGGACCAAGGAGUCUAACAUGCCUGCGAGUGUUUGGGUGGAAAACCCAUGCGCAUAAUGAAAGUGAAAGUUGAGAUCCCCUUCAAACAGGGAGCAUUGACGCCUGGACCAGACCUUUUGUGACGGAUCCACGGUAGAGCAUGCAUGUUGGGACCCGAAAGAUGGUGAACUAUGCCUGAAUAGGGUGAAGCCAGAGGAAACUCUGGUGGAGGCUCGUAGCGAUUCUGACGUGCAAAUCGAUCGUCAAAUUUGGGUAUAGGGGCGAAAGACUAAUCGAACCAUCUAGUAGCUGGUUCCUGCC